AUCUUCCUGGCCAGUCAAUAGCUGGCAGCGGUAUAUAAAACUAUAUGGUAAGAUGCGAAGUGAAGACUGGAAAACGUCGAUUUUUUUCAAUUGAGGCUGUUCAAUCUGAUGCGUAGUUUAUAAAAUAGCAAAAGCAAGGAUAUUUUUCUGUGUUAUUUAAGAAGAAAACAUCCAGGAAUAUCUGCCAAUUUAAAGCUGCACUGUUUAUACGAUACCAUUAAGACCAAUAUAUUACUAUAAAUUCUAAGUAGUUAUAGUUUUAUUGAACGUGUAAUUAACAUUUUAUCAGUGGUUAGGUAGAUAAAUAUGCGAUAUAUUGAUCUUGUAAAUGAUCAUAUACCAUUAUAAUGUAUCUGAGAAAUAGUGAAUUGCAUAAGAGCAUACACACUGGCUGAACUGAAGUUUUGUACUGUUGUUUGAAUUUUGGUCAAUUACAAAGACAGACAUGAGCUAAUUAAAUGAUAAGAUAAUUUAUUACUUACCUUUGGUAUACAAAUAAAUCUUAGUUGGACUAAAAAACAACUUUGACCAUGACGAAUGGCAUCUAUGCUGUGUGUUGUAGCAAUAGUUGGUAGUUGAGUAAUGUAUUCUUGCAGUAAAUCUCAUAGACUAAAUUUCCACUAUUUAUUUUAUUUUAAUAGAAUCCUUCUGCUGUAGUUUUUUACUAGAAAUAAAUAUAAACUGUAUGGCGGAACUGUCCUGAGAAUUAAAAGCAAUGAUCUUUAA